UACGUAGGGUGCAAGCGUUAAUCGGAAUUACUGGGCGUAAAGCGUGCGCAGGCGGUUUUGUAAGUCUGAUGUGAAAGCCCCGGGCUCAACCUGGGAAUUGCGUUGGAGACUGCAAGGCUAGAAUCUGGCAGAGGGGGGUAGAAUUCCACGUGUAGCAGUGAAAUGCGUAGAGAUGUGGAGGAACACCGAUGGCGAAGGCAGCCCCCUGGGUCAAGAUUGACGCUCAUGCACGAAAGCGUGGGGAGCAAACAGG
rnacentral:rRNA from 1 species